rnacentral:rRNA from 1 species
UACGGGGGGGGCAAGCGUUGUUCGGAAUUACUGGGCGUAAAGGGCUCGUAGGUGGCCAACUAAGUCAGACGUGAAAUCCCUCGGCUUAACCGGGGAACUGCGUCUGAUACUGGAUGGCUCGAGUUUGGGAGAGGGAUGCGGAAUUCCAGGUGUAGCGGUGAAAUGCGUAGAUAUCUGGAGGAACACCGGUGGCGAAGGCGGCAUCCUGGACCAACACUGACGCUGAGGAGCGAAAGCCAGGGGAGCAAACGGG